rnacentral:rRNA from 1 species
AAAAGUAAGUAAGGGCGCAUGGCGGAUGCCUUGGCUCUCGGAGGCGAUGAAGGACGUGAUAAGCUGCGAUAAGCUGCGGGUAGGUGCAAAUGACCUUUGAUCCGCGGAUUUCCGAAUGGGACAACCCAAUAUCUUGAAGAGAUAUUAUCCAUCUUACGAUGGAGGCGAACGCAGGGAACUGAAACAUCUUAGUACCUGUAGGAAUAGAAAAUAAAUAAUGAUUCCCCAAGUAGUGGCGAGCGAACGGGGAAUAGCCCAAACCAUAUGUGUUACGGCAUGUAUGGGGUUGUAGGACCACGUCGUGGGACGAAAGUUAGUGAGUAGAAUGAUCUGGAAAGUUCAGUCAUAGACGGUGAUAACCCGGUAUACUAAGCUAAUUGAACCCUAGUGGUAUCCUGAGUAGCGCGGGACACGAGGAAUCUUGCGUGAAUCUGCCGGGACCAUCCGGUAAGGCUAAAUACUCCCGAGAGACCGAUAGCGAACCAGUACUGUGAAGGAAAGGUGAAAAGCACUUCGAACAGAAGAGUGAAAUAGUCCCUGAAACCAUGCGCCUACAAGCGGUCGGAGCAGUGUAAACUGUGACGGCGUGCCUUUUGCAUAAUGAACCUACGAGUUACUUUUUCCGGCAAGGUUAAGGAUCUUGAGAUCUGCAGCCGAAGCGAAAGCGAGUCUUAAUAGGGCGGAUAGUCGGAAGGAGUAGACGCGAAACCAAGUGAUCUACCCUUGGCCAGGUUGAAGGACAGGUAACACUGUCUGGAGGACCGAACCGAUAAGCGUUGAAAAGCUUCCGGAUGAGCUGAGGGUGGGGGUGAAAGGCUAAUCAAACUUGGAGAUAGCUCGUACUCCCCGAAAUGCAUUUAGGUGCAGCCUUGAUUUAUACUAAUAUGAGGUAGAGCGACUGAUAAGAUGCGAGGGCUUCGCCGCCUAUCAAGUCUUGACAAACUCCGAAUGCGUAUUAGUUCUAUAUCAGGAGUGAGGGCAUGGGUGCUAAGGUCCAUGUCCUAAAGGAGAACAAUCCGGACCAUCAGCUAAGGUCCCCAAAUAAUUGCUAAGUUGAUCUAACGAAGUCAGAUUGCUAAGACAGCUAGGAUGUUGGCUUGGAAGCAGCCAUUCAUUUAAAGAGUGCGUAACAGCUCACUAGUCGAGGAGUUUGGCGUGGAUAAUAAUCGGGCAUAAGCAAUUUACCGAAGCUAUGGGAUGUGCAAACAUCGGUAGGGGAGCAUUCCACUCUGCGUUGAAGGUGAAGCGUAAGCUUUGCUGGAGCGUGUGGAAAAGCAAAUGUAGGUAUAAGUAACGAUAAAGGGGGUGAGAAACCCCCUCGCCGAAAGACUAAGGUUUCCUGAUCAACGCUAAUCGGAUCAGGGUUAGUCGGGUCCUAAGGCUCAGCCGAACGGUGAGGCCGAUGGCAGAACAGGUUAAUAUUCCUGUACUACCUUAAGGAGUGACGUGGAGACGGAGCAGUGACAGCGCCGCGGACUGACGGAAUAGUCCGUUGAAGGGUGUAGAUGUUGAUUGUGGCAGGCAAAUCCACCACAAGAGUCGAACCUGAUAGUAUGGAACGUUCUUCGGAACAAUCCAAUAGUGCGUGUAAACAUACUUCCAAGAAAAUCCGCUAAACUUAAUCUUUAAGGUACCCGUACCGCAAACGGACACACGUAGUCGGGUUGAAUAUACUAAGGCGCUUGAGUGAUUCACGGUUAAGGAACUAGGCAAAUUGACCCUGUAACUUCGGGAUAAAGGGUCCCAACGAGAGUUGGGCGCAGAGAAUAGGUCCAGGCAACUGUUUAACAAAAACACAGGGCUGUGCUAAAUUGAAAGAUUACGUAUACAGCCUGACACCUGCCCGGUGCUGGAAGGUUAAGAGGAGAUGUCAUCGCAAGAGAAGCAUUGAAUUGAAGCCCCAGUAAACGGCGGCCGUAACUAUAACGGUCCUAAGGUAGCGAAAUUCCUUGUCGGGUAAGUUCCGACCUGCACGAAUGGUGUAAUGAUCUGGACACUGUCUCAACCGUGAGCU